rnacentral:pre_miRNA from 1 species
AGAGUGAACAUGAGCCAAGAAUGACUUGCCGAUGUAUUGGUUUUUUUCUUUUUUUUCUUUUUUUUUUUUUUUCAGAAUGGUAAAGCAUUAUCCAUAGACGAUGGAGCUACAAAUAUUUCGGCAAGCAUUUCUUAGCUCUGUUUGGCUCUCU